rnacentral:rRNA from 1 species
AGACGUCUACAUUAGAUACCCGCGUAGUCCCAGCCGUAAACUAUGCGCGUUAGGUGUAUUGGUGACCACGAGUUACCGAGGUGCCGAAGGGAAACCGUGAAACGUGCCGCCUGGGAAGUACGGUCGCAAGGCUGAAACUUAAAGGAAUUGGCGGGGAGCACCACAACAGGUGGAGCCUGCGGUUUAAUUGGACUCAACGCCGGGAAGCUCACCGGAUAGGACAGCAGAAUGAUUGCCGGGCUGAAGACCCUGCAUGACUAGCUG